rnacentral:rRNA from 1 species
GUGCUGUGAGCUCGAUGAGUAGGGCGGGACACGUGGUAUCCUGUCUGAAUAUGGGGGGACCAUCCUCCAAGGCUAAAUACUCCUGACUGACCGAUAGUGAACCAGUACCGUGAGGGAAAGGCGAAAAGAACCCCGGCGAGGGGAGUGAAAAAGAACCUGAAACCGUGUACGUACAAGCAGUGGGAGCACCCUUUGGGGUGUGACUGCGUACCUUUUGUAUAAUGGGUCAGCGACUUAUAUUCUGUAGCAAGGUUAACCGAAUAGGGGAGCCGGAGGGAAACCGAGUCUUAAUUGGGCGUUAAGUUGCAGGGUAUAGACCCGAAACCCGGUGAUCUAGCCAUGGGCAGGUUGAAGGUUGGGUAACACUAACUGGAGGACCGAACCGACUAAUGUUGAAAAAUUAGCGGAUGACCUGUGGCUGGGGGUGAAAGGCCAAUCAAACCGGGAGAUAGCUGGUUCUCCCCGAAAGCUAUUUAGGUAGCGCCUCGUGAAUUCAUCUCCGGGGGUAGAGCACUGUUUCGGCUAGGGGGCCAUCCCGGCUUACCAACCCGAUGCAAACUGCGAAUACCGGAGAAUGUUAUCACGGGAGACACACGGCGGGUGCUAACGUCCGUCGUGAAGAGGGAAACAACCCAGACCGCCAGCUAAGGUCCCAAAGUCAUGGUUAAGUGGGAAACGAUGUGGGAAGGCCCAGACAGCCAGGAUGUUGGCUUAGAAGCAGCCAUCAUUUAAAGAAAGCGUAAUAGCUCACUGGUCGAGUCGGCCUGCGCGGAAGAUGUAACGGGGCUAAACCAUGCACCGAAGCUGCGGCAGCGACGCUGAUGCGUUGUUGGGUAGGGGAGCGUUCUGUAAGCCUGCGAAGGUGGCCUGUGAGGGUUGCUGGAGGUAUCAGAAGUGCGAAUGCUGACAUAAGUAACGAUAAAGCGGGUGAAAAGCCCGCUCGCCGGAAGACCAAGGGUUCCUGUCCAACGUUAAUCGGGGCAGGGUGAGUCGACCCCUAAGGCGAGGCCGAAAGGCGUAGUCGAUGGGAAACGGGUUAAUAUUCCCGUACUUGGUGUUACUGCGAAGGGGGGACGGAGAAGGCUAUGUUGGCCGGGCGACGGUUGUCCCGGUUUAAGCGUGUAGGUGUGUGUUCCAGGUAAAUCCGGUUCACUUUAACACUGAGGCGUGAUGACGAGGCACUACGGUGCUGAAGCAACAAAUGCCCUGCUUCCAGGAAAAGCCUCUAAGCAUCAGGUAACAUCAAAUCGUACCCCAAACCGACACAGGUGGUCAGGUAGAGAAUACCAAGGCGCUUGAGAGAACUCGGGUGAAGGAACUAGGCAAAAUGGUGCCGUAACUUCGGGAGAAGGCACGCUGACACGUAGGUGAAGUGAUUUACUCAUGGAGCUGAAGUCAGUCGAAGAUACCAGCUGGCUGCAACUGUUUAUUAAAAACACAGCACUGUGCAAACACGAAAGUGGACGUAUACGGUGUGACGCCUGCCCGGUGCCGGAAGGUUAAUUGAUGGGGUCAGCGCAAGCGAAGCUCCUGAUCGAAGCCCCGGUAAACGGCGGCCGUAACUAUAACGGUCCUAAGGUAGCGAAAUUCCUUGUCGGGUAAGUUCCGACCUGCACGAAUGGCGUAAUGAUGGCCAGGCUGUCUCCACCCGAGACUCAGUGAAAUUGAACUCGCUGUGAAGAUGCAGUGUACCCGCGGCAAGACGGAAAGACCCCGUGAACCUUUACUAUAGCUUGACACUGAACAUUGAGCCUUGAUGUGUAGGAUAGGUGGGAGGCUUUGAAGUGUGGACGCCAGUCUGCAUGGAGCCGACCUUGAAAUACCACCCUUUAAUGUUUGAUGUUCUAACGUGGACCCGUGAUCCGGGUUGCGGACAGUGUCUGGUGGGUAGUUUGACUGGGGCGGUCUCCUCCUAAAGAGUAACGGAGGAGCACGAAGGUUGGCUAAUCCUGGUCGGACAUCAGGAGGUUAGUGCAAUGGCAUAAGCCAGCUUGACUGCGAGCGUGACGGCGCGAGCAGGUGCGAAAGCAGGUCAUAGUGAUCCGGUGGUUCUGAAUGGAAGGGCCAUCGCUCAACGGAUAAAAGGUACUCCGGGGAUAACAGGCUGAUACCGCCCAAGAGUUCAUAUCGACGGCGGUGUUUGGCACCUCGAUGUCGGCUCAUCACAUCCUGGGGCUGAAGUAGGUCCCAAGGGUAUGGCUGUUCGCCAUUUAAAGUGGUACGCGAGCUGGGUUUAGAACGUCGUGAGACAGUUCGGUCCCUAUCUGCCGUGGGCGCUGGAGAACUGAGGGGGGCUGCUCCUAGUACGAGAGGACCGGAGUGGACGCAUCACUGGUGUUCGGGUUGUCAUGCCAAUGGCACUGCCCGGUAGCUAAAUGCGGAAGAGAUAAGUGCUGAAAGCAUCUAAGCACGAAACUUGCCCCGA